AAUAUACAUGGUAAAAUGUAUGUUCUAAUACCUUGUUUUGUGUACACUGAACCACACAAGUUCUACAUUGACUAUCGACUGCAUGUAGACAAAACAUGUCGAUUUAAACUUCAUGUAAACAUUGAGUUUUAUCAAUGGGAACGUAAUUGUGUUUAGUUUACGUGUGAUUUACACUUACACAACACCGAGUUUAGAUCAAUGAGAACACGGCCU
rnacentral:lncRNA from 1 species